GAUGAAGAACGCAGCGAAAUGCGAUAAGUAGUGUGAAUUGCAGAAUUCAGUGAAUCAUCGAAUCUUUGAACGCACAUUGCGCCUCCUGGUAUUCCGGGAGGCAUGCCUGUUCGAGCGUCAUUAAAAUCACUCAAGCUUAGGUUUACCUAUUGCUUGGUCUUGGAGAUGGAAGCCAAUUUAUUGGAAUCCUCUUCGAAAUUCAAUGGCGAAGACCCUUGCUCUCCCAAGUGUAGUAAUAACUUAUGUCACUGAAGGAAGCGAGAAAUCUUCUGCCGUAACCCCCAUAUUUCCUAUGAUUGACCUCGGAUCAGGUAGGGAUACCCGCUGAACUUAAGCAUAUCAAUAAGCGGAGGA
rnacentral:misc_RNA from 1 species